UCAGGACGAACGCUGGCGGCGUGCUUAACACAUGCAAGUCGAACGGGGACUUCGGUCCUAGUGGCGAACGGGUGAGUAAAGUGCAAAUAACCUGCCUCAAAGAUGGGGACAACAGCUCGAAAGGGUUGCUAAUACCGAAUGUUGUAUAGAGAGGGCAUCCUGAUUAUACUAAAGAUUUAUCGCCUUGAGAGGGGUUUGCAUCCGAUUAGGCAGUUGGCGGGGUAAAAGCCCACCAAACCGACGAUCGGUAACCGGUCUGAGAGGAUGAACGGUCACAUUGGAACUGAGACACGGUCCAGACUCCUACGGGAGGCAGCAGUGGGGAAUAUUCCACAAUGGAGGGAACUCUGAUGGAGCGACGCCGCGUGAGUGAAGAAGGGUUUAGGCUCGUAAAGCUCUUUUCUUGCAGAUGAAUGACUUAUUAGAUAAGUAGGGACAGUAUGUAAGGAAUAAGCCACGGCUAACUACGUGCCAGCCGCGGC
rnacentral:rRNA from 1 species